rnacentral:rRNA from 1 species
UUGGAGGGCAAGUCUGGUGCCAGCAGCCGCGGUAAUUCCAGCUCCAAUAGCGUAUAUUAAAGUUGUUGCAGUUAAAAAGCUCGUAGUUGAAUUUCGGGGUUCUACCGUUGGUCGGGCUUUGUCUGUACUGGUGUGUAGAAUUUCUACCUUCUGGGGAACCAUCAUGCUAUUAAUUUAGCGUGGUGGGAAGCCAGGACCUUUACCUUGAAAAAAUUAGUGUGUUCAAAGCAGGCUUAUGUCUGAAUACAUUAGCGUGGAAUAAUAGAAUAGGACGGUGGUCCUGUUUUGUUGGUUUCUGAAUCACCGUAAUGAUUAAUAGGGAUAGUUGGGGGCAUUAGUAUUCAAUUGUCAGAGGUGAAAUUCUUGGAUUUAUUGAAGACUAACUUCUGCGAAAGCAUUUGCCAAGGAUGUUUUCAUUAAUCAAGAACGAAAGUUAGGGGAUCGAAGACGAUCAGAUACCGUCGUAGUCUUAACCAUAAACUAUGCCGACUAGGGAUCGGACGAUGUUAAUUUUUUAAUGACUCGUUCGGCGCCUACGGGAAAC